GGGGAAUAUUGGACAAUGGGGGAAACCCUGAUCCAGCGACGCCGCGUGAGUGAAGAAGUAUUUCGGUAUGUAAAGCUCUAUCAGCAGGGAAGAAAAUGACGGUACCUGACUAAGAAGCCCCGGCUAACUACGUGCCAGCAGCCGCGGUAAUACGUAGGGGGCAAGCGUUAUCCGGAUUUACUGGGUGUAAAGGGAGCGCAGACGGCGAAGCAAGUCUGAAGUGAAAUGCAUGGGCUCAACCCAUGAAUUGCUUUGGAAACUGUUUGGCUUGAGUGUCGGAGGGGUAAGCGGAAUUCCUAGUGUAGCGGUGAAAUGCGUAGAUAUUAGGAGGAACACCGGAGGCGAAGGCGGCUUACUGGACGACAACUGACGUUGAGGCUCGAAGGCGUGGGGAGCAAACAGGAUUAGAUACCCUGGUAGUCCACGCAGUAAACGAUGAAUACUUGGUGUCGGGGAGGUAAACUCUUCGGUGCCGCAAGCAAACGCAUUAAGUAUUCCACCUGGGGAGUACGUUCGCAAGAAUG
rnacentral:rRNA from 1 species